rnacentral:rRNA from 1 species
AAUACCGGAUGUGAACGCAAGUUCAAAGUUGGGGACCGUAAGGCCUGACGCUUCACGAUGAGCCCGCGGCCUAUCAGCUAGUUGGUGAGGUAACGGCUCACCAAGGCUAAGACGGGUAGCUGGUCUGAGAGGACGACCAGCCACACUGGAACUGAGACACGGUCCACACACCUAC